rnacentral:rRNA from 1 species
AGAGUUUGAUCCUGGCUCAGGGCGAACGCUGGCGGCAUGCCUAAUACAUGCAAGUCGAACGAUCACUUCGGUGGUAGUGGCGCACGGGUGCGUAACGCGUGGGAAUCUGCCCUUGGGUUCGGAAUAACAUCUGGAAACGGAUGCUAAUACCGGAUGAUGACGUAAGUCCAAAGAUUUAUCGCCCAGGGAUGAGCCCGCGUAGGAUUAGCUAGUUGGUGGGGUAAAGGCCUACCAAGGCGACGAUCCUUAGCUGGUCUGAGAGGAUGAUCAGCCACACUGGGACUGAAACACGGCCCAGACUCCUACGGGAGGCAGCAGUAGGGAAUAUAGGACAAUGGGGGCAACCCUGAUCCAGCAAUGCCGCGUGAGUGAUGAAGGCCUUAGGGUUGUAAAGCUCUUUUACCCGGGAUGAUAAUGACAGUACCGGGAGAAUAAGCCCCGGCUAACUCCGUGCCAGCAGCCGCGGUAAU